rnacentral:rRNA from 1 species
CCUACGGGUGGCUGCAGUGGGGAAUAUUGGACAAUGGGCGAAAGCCUGAUCCAGCCAUGCCGCGUGUGUGAAGAAGGCCUUCGGGUUGUAAAGCACUUUCAGUGGGGAAGAAAGCCUUGGGGCUAAUACCCUCGAGGAAGGACAUCACCCACAGAAGAAGCACCGGCUAACUCCGUGCACAGCAGCCGCGGUAAUACGGAGGGUGCGAGCGUUAAUCGGAAUUACUGGGCGUAAAGCGCGCGUAGGCGGUCUGAUAAGCCGGUUGUGAAAGCCCCGGGCUCAACCUGGGAACGGCAUCCGGAACUGUCAGGCUAGAGUGCAGGAGAGGAAGGUAGAAUUCCCGGUGUAGCGGUGAAAUGCGUAGAGAUCGGGAGGAAUACCAGUGGCGAAGGCGGCCUUCUGGACUGACACUGACGCUGAGGUGCGAAAGCGUGGGUAGCAAACAGGAUUAGAUACCUAGUAGUC